GUCAUGCUUGCACUAUUUGCAGAAUCUGCAUCCGUGUGUGUGUGUGUGUGGUGGUCUUGUCCUGCAAUAUAGGCAGAGAAGGCUAUGGCCAUGCGAUGCUGCGGCUGCCGUCAGGGUUUGAAGGCAACAUCUCAACAGGAGGGGACCAAGCCAUCAAAGCCAUCAUGUACUUUAAUUACAGACUCACGCUGACCCGGAUGGCUGGUUGGAAACUGAGCUCAUCUAGAGCCACAGCAAGCUGCUCAUGGCAGAUGACAGGACUGUCAUCAUCGGUCAUCGCUGUGAAAUGGAGAAAAUGCUGGGCACCAGGAUAAGCAAUGACUCAACAGAGAGUAUGUUAAGGAGGAGGAAAAAACUGUACAAUAUAAUGUAUUCAGAAGGAACAGCUCUGCACCCCAGCCUCAGAACAGUCAGUUCUUCUUUGGUCACUUAGUUGCAUUUCAUACAUAGCAAAAAAUGUAAACAACAAAGUUGGGACUAUGUAGUCAGAAAACAAUUUAUCACAGCAGCUCAGCAAGUAUCCAGGAGAGGGCAGUGUUAUCCAGAGAAGGGGUGGGGAGUGUUUGAUCUGAGCAGAUGUGUAUGAGGAGAAUCAUUAAACAGCAUCUGUCCACUCAAUUACCCCCUUCAUUAGUCUAAUCCCACGUUUUUUUACUCAUAGAGGGAUAAUUAAAUUCCUCAUAAAUUGAAUUGAAUUACUGUGUAAAACAAGUCACAAUGAAGGGGGCAACAGGCAUUCUAAUGGAAUCAUGGAAUGGCCAAAACAACAGGAAAGACUCAGGACUUGUGUUUAAGUUAAUACAGGCUGCACAUGAUGCAUUGUAAACUAUAAGCAGCGUAGAAAAGGUUUCAGUCGUAGUCAUCUGGACACUGUUUUCAGAAUCAAGACGUUUUGGCUCCCAUCCAGAAGUCAUUCUCAAUUGGCACAAUUGACAACUGCCAACAGAUGCCAUCUUUAAUUUAAAGAUCCACAAGGAACCACUGUUGGCAAAAGUGAGGGACUCCAUAAGCUUCCUGGUCCGGUUUUGUUUCUAGAUUCUGUUAGUGAGAAACCUCCUCAGGUCCAAGAAAGUAAUGCUGAAGGGAACUUAGUCUAGUGUGAUUAACAAGGCAUCAGCAGUUAAGUAAGAGAAUGAACUGGCACUGAGAUUGUUCCUAAAUGUUUUUCACUACCUCACUGUUUAGAGUAAUUAGUUUUAAUCACGUAAUACAAAUUCCAAAAUGUCCAGCAUAAAUAAAAGAAUGUUGUACACAGGACAGA